GAAAGCCGUAUGAUGGGAAACUAUCACGUACGGUUUGGGAAAGGAUUUUUGAUUAAUUUCUACUAUUAUAAUUAGUAGUUGGGGUCAAUCUUCUAUUUCAC
rnacentral:ncRNA from 1 species